UACGUAGGGUGCAAGCGUUAAUCGGAAUUACUGGGCGUAAAGCGUGCGCAGGCGGUUAUGCAAGACAGAUGUGAAAUCCCCGGGCUCAACCUGGGAACUGCAUUUGUGACUGCAUGGCUGGAGUGCGGCAGAGGGGGAUGGAAUUCCUGGUGUAGCAGUGAAAUGCGUAGAUAUCAGGAGGAAUACCGAUGGCGAAGGCAGGUCUCUGGGCUGACACUGACGCUCAUGCACGAAAGCGUGGGGAGCAAACAGG
rnacentral:rRNA from 1 species